rnacentral:lncRNA from 1 species
GAAGUACCCCCCUUUUUAGCUCACCUGUCCCGAAGGGCCAAGUGAGCUUUUCCCAUCACUUUGCGUCCGGCGUCCGUCGUCGUCGUCGUCGUCCGUCGUCUGUCGUCCGUCGUCCGUCGUCGUUAACUUUUACAAAAAUCUUCUCCUCUGAAACUACUGGGCCAAAUUGAACCAAACUUGGCCACAAUCAUCAUUUGGGUAUCUAGUUUAAAAAAUGUGUGGCGUGA